GAUGAAGAACGCAGCGAAAUGCGAUAAGUAAUGUGAAUUGCAGAAUUCAGUGAACCAUCGAAUCUUUGAACGCACAUUGCGCCCGACAGUAAUCUGCCGGGCAUGCCCGUCCGAGCGUCAUUUCUGCCCUCGAGCGAGUCCAGCAUCUAGGUGCUGGGCCCGCCCGGCGUUGGGGCACUACGGGAAGCCCUGUGCUGUCCCCCGUAGGCCCCGAAAUGAAGUGGCGGUCCUGCCGCGGCGCCCCCUGCGUAGUAUAACAGCUCGCUUCGGGACCCGGUGGAGGCCUGCCGUCAAACCUUACUCUCUAAGUUUGACCUCGGAUCAGGUAGGGUUACCCGCUGAACUUAAGCAUAUCAAUAAGCGGAGGA
rnacentral:misc_RNA from 1 species